UGGCUCAGAACGAACGCUGGCGGCAGGCCUAACACAUGCAAGUCGAGCGCACCUUCGGGUGAGCGGCGGACGGGUUAGUAACGCGUGGGAAUAUGCCCAAAGGUACGGAAUAGCCUCUGGAAACGGAGAGUAAUACCGUAUGUGCCCUUCGGGGGAAAGAUUUAUCGCCUUUGGAUUAGCCCGCGUUGGAUUAGGUAGUUGGUGGGGUAAUGGCCUACCAAGCCUACGAUCCAUAGCUGGUUUGAGAGGAUGAUCAGCAACACUGGGACUGAGACACGGCCCAGACUCCUACGGGAGGCAGCAGUGGGGAAUCUUAGACAAUGGGCGAAAGCCUGAUCUAGCCAUGCCGCGUGAGUGACGAAGGCCCUAGGGUCGUAAAGCUCUUUCGCCAGGGAUGAUAAUGACAGUACCUGGUAAAGAAACCCCGGCUAACUCCGUGCCAGCAGCCGCGGUAAUACGGAGGGGGUUAGCGUUGUUCGGAAUUACUGGGCGUAAAGCGUACGUAGGCGGAUUAGUCAGUCAGAGGUGAAAUCCCAGGGCUCAACCCUGGAACUGCCUUUGAUACUGCUAGUCUUGAGUUCGAGAGAGGUGAGUGGAAUUCCGAGUGUAGAGGUGAAAUUCGUAGAUAUUCGGAGGAACACCAGUGGCGAAGGCGGCUCACUGGCUCGAUACUGACGCUGAGGUACGAAAGUGUGGGGAGCAAACAGGAUUAGAUACCCUGGUAGUCCACACCGUAAACGGUGAAUGCCAGACGUCGGGGGGCAUGCCCUUCGGUGUCACACCUAACGGAUUAAGCAUUCCGCCUGGGGAGUACGGUCGCAAGAUUAAAACUCAAA
rnacentral:rRNA from 1 species